rnacentral:lncRNA from 1 species
GGUUCAAAGUAUACUUUCUUUUAUACCCCAUGUUAGCAAUCCAGAAAUUUGUAGUGUCAUUGAUUAGAUUAAUAUACCUGAGAUACUGUAGGACUUCAGUACUGUAGUACUAAAAUUAAAAGAAAGAUUUUAAUUCUCUUACUGAAGUCCUUCUCUCUAGCACUUUACACUCCAAUAACAAGGAACCUAUUUUUCACUAUUUCCAUCCUUUCCUGACUUUUCGAUGUGGAAAAUAGUUUCUAUACAUUCCAGGUAUUUAGAAAUGGAUUCUUGGGUGCAAAAGUUUAUGCGGGUGCAAUGACCUGAAUGCAAUCACAUCUAUGACAAUCUGAGUCAUUGACAUUCAAACAGAAAAGCGUACUUUAAAAGUUUUCCAUACUUAUAUGGAAUGCAUUGAACCACCUUGGAGAAGGAUAUCCAAGGGUAAUAUGGAAUUAAAUCAACUUUUAGUGUUUAAGAUCUCAUACAGAUAAAAGGUAUCAUCUUCCUUUGCCAGCAGAUUUCUUGUAUUAUUAAGGCUUGGUCAUAUACAAACAUGCUUAGUACUAUAUUGAAGGGUCCUAUGGGGUUUCCUAGUGCUUAAAUAAAAACAAGUUAAACCACUCAGAUGUGAUGACCUUAGUUCCCUACCAAGUGACAAGGCUUAAAACCAAGACUAUUCUUGAAUAAAACAGACCCUGUCCCCUGUCAAAGAUGGUCAGAUAUGCAAAGAUAGCUUCAGAACAAAACAAAACAGCAAAGCAUUUUGGGUAGUUUGAGGGAGACAAGGAGGAAUUAAAAAAGAAAAUAACACCAAAAGUGCAUGAAAAGGAUCUUUGUUUUCCUGUCUCGAUUUCUUGGGCCCUUCAUGUAGGAUUAUUUAGGAGCAUAACUUUAGAUGGCUCUGUAGUCUCUGCUUCUCUAUAGGUGAUGGAUUUACAAAGCUGACAGUAAGCAACUUGCUCCAACUUGAGGAAAUUCACUGUACACACAUUUUUUUUUUUCAUUAAGAGCAAACAAAAUCUAUUUAUUUUCUCCGUAUUUCUUUCAAAACAAUAAAGUUUUGUCACCUCCAGAGCCACUCAUCAUCUGAAAUAACAUGGGUCAGCCCAGAGGGUAACUCCAUGUCUUUUUUGAAAUCAAAUAAUUUUCCUUCUCAGCUUCUCUCUCCCCACUGGAGCUAUUCAGUGUCACAUGCCUCUGUUAUUAAAAGAUGGCUCGGAGUUCCCGUCGUGGCGCAGUGGUUAAUGAAUCCGACUAGGAACCGUGAGGUUGUGGGUUCAAUCCCUGGCCUUGUUCAGUGGGUUGAGGAUUCGGCAUUGCCGUGAGCUGUGGUGUAGGUCAUAGACACAGCUCAGAUGCCAUGUUGCUGUGGCUCUUACGUAGGCCAGCGGCUACAGCUCCGAUUCGACCCCUAGCCUGGAAACCUCCAUAUGCUGCGGGAGCAGCCCCAGAAAACGCAAAAAGACAAAAAAAUAAAUAAAAAUAAAAAUAAAAGAUUCUCCAUUAUCUAACAAUGAAACUAUUAGUUAUAUCAACAAAUGCAAGAUUCUUGGAUGGUGAUAAAAUUCUAAGAAUACUGUAUUCCAUAUUUUUCUUUCUAAGAAAGGGGCCCAAUUGCCAGCUCUCUAUCCUGCUUGAAAUAUCUGGGAUUUUGUUGCUGUUUUAAAUUUUUUUUUUUAAUGUUUCUCCCUUUGAUUUUGGCCAAUGAAAACCCUACCUGCCAAAACUCACAUAUACGCAGAAAGCAAAAAAAGAUAAAAAGUGAGUUUUAGGUUUUAGAGCUUUGAAAGGCCUUUCUUUGAAGAUGCUGAGAAUCUUGCAUGUGAAUCUGAAACAGAGCUGCAGAACCCACACAUUUAUUAUUCUGAUAAAUAAACAUAUUCCCAUGUAAGGAUUGUUUUGAGCCCAGGGAAAAGAUAAAUAAAGUCCUUUGUGGUUCUCCCUGUACUUGAGGUUUGCCAAAUUGAACAUCCUUGCUCCAUGGGAAGAUACUUAUUCUUGUGAUGAGAGCCAAACUUCAAGUGGCCAAGAAGCAAAUUCUGCUAUUCUAACAGGAAAAAAAAAAAAAAGCAUGGUUUUUAAAAGCCAACCUUUCAGCUCAGUAUCUAUGAAAGUUAAGUAACCUGUUAAAGCAGUUGUAAGCAUAGUGGAAUCACCUAGGGAGCUUUAGAAAAACACUGAAGCCUGGGUCUCUUCCUUGUGGAUCAUGGUCAAGAGUACAACUUGGACAUCAGGAUUUUUUACACCUACCCCACAGACCCCUGGUCAAUUCUAAUAUGUAACCAGGGUUGAGAAACACUGGUCUUAAUGGACUUAGGAGGAAAAAAAAAUCAAAGCCAUUUCAUUGAUAUAUGACUAUGUUGGACUUCAAGGUCUCUUCAAGGAUACAGAACUCAAAGCCCUUGGCUAAGACCAAAAUUACCAGAUCCCAUCAUCGCCCGACCUCUCAUUGUAAUGUUACCUGACACUGCCACGCACCCCACCGCUUUGAGCAACCUGGUCUACUCCUUCCUACUCCCUACUAGGAAAGGUAUGUAACCCACUCCUCACCCCUCCCCUAUAGGGGCA